rnacentral:misc_RNA from 1 species
GAUGAAGAACGUAGCGAAAUGCGAUAAGUAAUGUGAAUUGCAGAAUUCAGUGAAUCAUCGAAUCUUUGAACGCACCUUGCGCCCUUUGGCCAUUCCGAAGGGCAUGCCUGUUUGAGUAUCAUGAACACCUCAACUCUUUAUGGUUUUCCAUGAUGAGCUUGGACUCUGGGGGUUUUGCUGGCUCACAGUCGGCUCCUCUAAAAUGAAUCAGCUUACCAGUGUUUGGUGGGUAUCAUGGGUGUGAUAACUAUCUACGCUUGUGGUUUUUCCACCAGGUAACCUUCAGCAGUGGAGGUUCGCUGGAGCUCAUAGAUGUCUCUCCUAAGUGAGGACAGCCCUUUGAAUGUUUGAUCUCAAAUCAGGUAGGACUACCCGCUGAACUUAAGCAUAUCAAUAAGCGGAGGA